GUGGAGCAUGUGGUUUAAUUCGAUGCAACGCGAAGAACCUUACCUACUCUUGACAUCCAGAGAACUUAGCAGAGAUGCUUUGGUGCCUUCGGGAACUCUGAGACAGGUGCUGCAUGGCUGUCGUCAGCUCGUGUUGUGAAAUGUUGGGUUAAGUCCCGCAACGAGCGCAACCCUUAUCCUUUGUUGCCAGCGGUCCGGCCGGGAACUCAAAGGAGACUGCCAGUGAUAAACUGGAGGAAGGUGGGGAUGACGUCAAGUCAUCAUGGCCCUUACGAGUAGGGCUACACACGUGCUACAAUGGCGCAUACAAAGAGAAGCGAACUCGCGAGAGCAAGCGGACCUCAUAAAGUGCGUCGUAGUCCGGAUUGGAGUCUGCAACUCGACUCCAUGAAGUCGGAAUCGCUAGUAAUCGUAGAUCAGAAUGCUACGGUGAAUACGUUCCCGGGCCUUGUACACACCGCCCGUCACACCAUGGGAGUGGGUUGCAAAAGAAGUAGGUAGCUUAACCUUCGGGAGGGCGCUUACCACUUUGUGAUUCAUGACUGGGGUGAAGUCGUAACAAGGUAACCGUAGGGGAACCUGCGGUUGGAUCACCUCCUUACCUUAAAGAA
rnacentral:rRNA from 1 species